AGGCAACAAGCUGUCAACUAGGGGAGGGAAGGAGCAGGAAUAUCAGAAGGCGGCAUAUUUGGAAAUUCUGGCAUCUUUCAACUCCAAUGCCAGAGAAAUGUAAACACACCUGGUGGCGUAAAUGGACUAUGAUAAAGUUAUAAUUCUGGAUCAGUAUAAAGGAUUGCUCAAGCAGACUUUCAGGCGCCCAUAUGUUGUAUGGUUGCAGAACUAAGGCCAAGAUUUCAAUCAAGAUCAGAUGGACAAAUAAAGCUUUGAUAAUAAAAAC